rnacentral:rRNA from 1 species
AUGCAUGUCUAAGUAUAAGCAAUUAUACCGUGAAACUGCGAAUGGCUCAUUAAAUCAGUUAUCGUUUAUUUGAUAAUACCUUACUACUUGGAUAACCGUGGUAAUUCUAGAGCUAAUACAUGCUGAAAAUCCCGACUUCGGAAGGGAUGUGUUUAUUAGAUAAAAAACCAAUGCCCUUCGGGGCUCUUUGGUGAUUCAUGAUAACUUUACGGAUCGCAUAGCCUUGCGCUGGCGACGGUUCAUUCAAAUUUCUGCCCUAUCAACUUUCGAUGGUAAGGUAUUGGCUUACCAUGGUUUCAACGGGUAACGGGGAAUUAGGGUUCGAUUCCGGAGAGGGAGCCUGAGAAACGGCUACCACAUCCAAGGAAGGCAGCAGGCGCGCAAAUUACCCAAUCCCGACACGGGGAGGUAGUGACAAUAAAUACUGAUACAGGGCUCUUUUGGGUCUUGUAAUUGGAAUGAGUACAAUUUAAACCUCUUAACGAGGAACAAUUGGAGG